GGAAAAUGUAAGUGUAUAAAACUUUCGGUUGAUUUAGAGCUAUAUGGAUUAAUUACAUUGCAGAUUCAAAAAUAUAAUGAGCAGAAGGUUUUGGACCAGUUGAAGAGAGACCAAACUGCGGACAAAAAAGACAUACUUGCAACAGGUGGUGGCACAUUUAGGCCUCGUCUCACAGAUGUACGGGCACAAAUCUUGAGUUUGAUUGGCAAUCAAAUCCAACCUUUAUGCAACAGUUGUGACAGUGCAUCUGGUUUCUUCAGAUCUGUUGCACAAGAUAGUCAAGUGGAAGUGGAUUACCUACAAUUGGAAGACACAUAGCAGACGUCCAAUGUACCCUCUACUUCCACUGUGCUGCUCAGUACACCCACGACAGCUGCUGUCCUGCCCAAGAAGACAGCCAAGAUGUCUCAGGCUCGUUCAAAAAAUAAAAAAGUAAAAGAUCUAGGGAGCGAAACCCUUAAUGUAUCUUUUACAAAAAAAAAAAUUGAAACAGCAAGACUAGAAAAAAGAAGUAAGAUAGUAUUUUUCAACAAGAAAAAAAGAAAUUUUAGAAGUAGAGCUUCAAAUAAAAAAAUUCAAACUCAAUAAAUUAUUAGGUAAUAGUGGUUAGGUAUGUACCUAAUAAAGUAAUUUUAAAUAAAAAUUGUAAUUUCUUUAAAUAAUAAAAUUAAUAAAAAAUGUGUUUUUCAAAGUUUA
rnacentral:lncRNA from 1 species